rnacentral:rRNA from 1 species
GAUGAACGCUGGCGGCGUGCCUAACACAUGCAAGUCGAGCGAGAAGCUUAGGACGGAUACUUCGGUAAACAGAAUAAGUGGAAAGCGGCGGACGGGUGAGUAACGCGUAGGCAACCUGCCCUUUGCAGAGGGAUAGCCUCGGGAAACCGGGAUUAAAACCUCAUGACACCUUUUGGUCACCUGGCCGAAAGGUCAAAGAUUUAUCGGCAGAGGAUGGGCCUGCGUCUGAUUAGUUAGUUGGUAAGGUAACGGCUUACCAAGGCAAUGAUCAGUAGCCGACCUGAGAGGGUGAUCGGCCACAUUGGAACUGGGACCCGGUCCAAACUCCUACGGGAGGCAGCAGUGGGGAAUAUUGCACAAUGGGGGAAACCCUGAUGCAGCAACGCCGCGUGAGCGAAGAAGGCCUUUGGGUCGUAAAGCUCUGUCCUAGGGGAAGAAACAAAUGACGGUACCCUUGGAGGAAGCCCCGGCUAACUACGUGCCAGCCGCCGCAGUAA